AACGAACGCUGGCGGCGCGCCUAAUACAUGCAAGUCGAGCGAGAAGACGUAGCAAUACGUUUGUAAAGCGGCGAACGGGUGAGGAAUACAUGGGUAACCUACCCUCGAGUGGGGAAUAACUAGCCGAAAGGUUAGCUAAUACCGCGUACGCUCCUUGGACUUCGGUUCAGGGAGGAAAGCGAUACCGUGGGUAUCGCGCUCUUGGGUGGGCUCAUGUCCUAUCAGCUUGUUGGUGAGGUAACGGCUCACCAAGGCUUCGACGGGUAGCUGGUCUGAGAGGACGAUCAGCCACACUGGCACUGCGACACGGGCCAGACUCCUACGGGAGGCAGCAGUAAGGAAUAUUGCGCAAUGGGCGAAAGCCUGACGCAGCGACGCCGCGUGGGGGA
rnacentral:rRNA from 1 species